rnacentral:lncRNA from 1 species
CCCGCACCCACCCCGGCCUGUGCCCGGACACGCAGGGAACCCCGGGCCUGGCUUGGCCCCCAUCAGAUAAGGCGCCUCCUCCGCCCUGGCAGCCUCGGAGUCGGCGAGGAGUUUACGCCCUCAUGUUGCUGCAAGACCUUGUCGCAGACAUCGUUGAGUGGUUACUUCUGAGGCUGCUUGACAUUUGUCCCCCCGAUAGAUUCUGAGCUCCAUGCAGGUAAGGACAUCAUACUCCAUGGUACUCGCCCCCCAGUACCCAC